GGUGAGUCUGGGCCCCGCCCCCUAGGCCUGGUGGAAUCAGCCUGAAGAGGGAGCGGCCUUCCCCAACACUCACGGUAGUACCUCUUUUGUCCCCAUCCGGCACCCAGCUCUCACCUGUGACUCCUAGAAGCUGUCAGCAUGUGGCAGUGGCCACACCCCAAUGAAAUCAGAUGAGGAUAGCCAAUGGGUCUCAAACCCUCAGUGAGUUAGGGAGUUCCCCCGCAGGUGAAGACAGGCUCCCGCAGAUUGAGCAGAUGAGAGAAAUUGUGGGUCCAUUGGUUAAGAAGGCAGUUUCUGCACUUGCUGUAGAGGGAAGUGAAGGGCAGAGGGCAGAGGGAAGUGAAGGGGCUCAUCAGCCUGGGAAGGUAGUCCUUCUAGGACAGGGGUCAGCAAACUUUUUCAGCAGGGGCCAGUCCACUGUCCCUCAGACCUUGUGGGAGGCCAGACUACAGUGGUACCUCGGGUUAAGUACUUAAUUCGUUCCGGAGGUCCGUUCUUAACCUGAAACUGUUCUUAACCUGAAGCACCACUUUAGCUAAUGGGGCCUCCUGCUGCUGCCACGCCGCCGGAGCACGAUUUCUGUUCUCAUCCUGAAACAAAGUUCUUAACCUGAAGCACUAUUUCUGGGUUAGCGGAGUCUGUAACCUGAAGCGUAUGUAACCUGAAGCGUAUGUAACCUGAGGUACCACUGAUUAUAUAUAGAUAUUUUUAUAGGGGGAAUGAAUGAAUUCCUAUGCCCCACAAAUAACCCACAAAGAUGCAUUUUAAAUAAAAGGACACAUUCUACUCAUGUAAAAACACCAGGCAGGCCCCACAAAUAAACCAGAGAUGCAUUUUAAAUAAAAGGACAUGCUGAUUCCCAGACCGCCUGCGGGCCAGAUUGAGAAGGCGAUUGGGCUGGAUCUAGCCCUAAGCCUGAGUUUGCCUACCCAUGUUCUAGGAGAAAGAAAACUGUGAUCCUAAACCGCCACUGCUUUGUGGGAUAUCUGCGGGAGAAGGAAAGGCUAGUGGAAAGCUGAUUUAGAUAAGAAAAAGUGAGUUAAGUAUGCUUCCCCAGCACCUCUGUUCCAAUGCUGUUCAGAAAGGCCCCCCCCCCCCCGAAAGGCUACUUUGAAAUAAAUAUUAAAACAUGGUGGAGGGAUCAAAUCCCAAGUAUUGAUCAUAGCAAUCCCACAUCAUUAAGAGAGGCCUGUUUUCUCAAACUCCUAAUGCCAUUGCUUUUAGGGCAAGUUUACACAUUACCCAGUAAAAUGUUAGCUGCUGGAAAAUGACACCAAGUGGUUCAGAUGGGAGGGCAAUAGACACUUUUCGUGUUUAUCCUUCCAAUUGUGUGCAGUCUCUCCAUGCCAGAAACAUGAUGCCCCAGUGCUGUCAUGGAGACUCUUCAUGGACACUUCUUUUUUUGGGCAGACUCUCUUUGCCAACACUAGCCACCUCAAGAAUGUAUGGCUCGGGAAUGAAAAAUUAGCACAAGAUUUAGGAGAUUACCGAAGAUCACUGGCAUGCUUUUUCACGUGCUAAAAAUGAUAGGAUUCCUUUCAGAUUGUCGUAGACUAGUAUUAGAUCAGUCUAUGGUGGAAAGCUAAAAGUUCCAUGUAACAUUAUACACCACUGACAGGCUUUACUGUUUGCUAAAGUUUCCUGAACCUCUGUACUGCUGCUGUUUUCCCCAUUUAGAGAGUGAUAUACAUGAAAAUGCUUAUUCCAGAAGUGGUAGGACAUUUAUUUUUUUGUCACUAAGGUAUUGAAAUUAAAUUAGAACAGAGGAGAAAUGGUCAUUGGCCCGUUAAAGAAGGACCACAUACACAUGGCUAGAAGAUUAGUUAACAACUGGUUUGGCUGCAUUACGCAUUAGAGACAGAAUGCCAUCAUUUCACUCCUGAGCAAUGAUACUUUUUCCAGAUUGUCAGAGGGGCAGAGGUGUUCUGGGGAAAUUGCUUCCUUCACAAUGCAACUAGUAUCUAUGUGAGACAUAUUCCAUUCUUUUGCCAUAUAUGUGCAAGCAGAUAUCUUUCUGGGCUGAGAAGUAUAGUGUGCCAAUUUUAAACUGCUUUAAUUAAAUAACUUCCAUCAUUAUGAUGAGCAAAAGAAAAGCAAAAAAUAUCCAAUUUAAUGUUGUUUAAUUUCAAAGCAGUUAAAAACCCCCUCCAAACAGUAAGAACUUGAAAUCUAAUCAGUUACUUUUCAGGCAUCAGUCCCUGAAAAUAUAUGCUUAAGAUUCAACUAUCAUGAUAUAUUUGCUUGGCAUGAGAAGGUGCUUGGAUAGGGAACCAGAAAUUAUGGGGGUCCCUGAAUGACAUCCACAAGCCCCACCCACUGACUCCUUCCAAUUUUAGCUAAAUUAUACCCUCCCUAGUAUGCUUCUAAAAAUAGUAAUUAAGGAGGCUGGAACAAGAGGAAGACAGACCCUCCAAGUGUCCCUAUUUUCCAGGGACGUGCCUGAUUUAGAGAAGCCAUCCUGGUUUCUGAUUUGAUCCUGGAAUGUCCCAUUUUUCCUUAGGAUGUCCCUAAUCAUGGUUUGUUGAGUGAUUAGCAUCAUUUAAACAAUUAAACAAUUAUAUACACAAGGGCCACUGAAAGAAACUGAUGUAGAUCGAUUUUUGGAAACAAACGGAUUACAAAAAAUCUCUCAAGAAAAUAAAUUAAUGUUGAAUUAUAAAAUAACUGAACAGGAGAUAGAAGGUGCCAUUCAAAAUAUGCAAUUGGGUAAAUCUCCAGGACCGGAUGGACUGACUUCUAGAUAUUACAGAUCCUUGAAAGAAUGGCUAGUACAACCCUUGAAAGAGGUCUGUAAUGAAAUAAUGGAGGGGAAAAGGGCACCAGAGUCGUGGAAAGAAGCUUAUAUUACACUUGUACCAAAAACAGAGACUGAAAAGACGCAGCUUAAGAACUACCGUCCCAUAUCAUUACUUAAUGUGGAUUACAAAAUUUUUGCAGACAUUUUGGCCAAGAGACUGAAAAAAGUGUUGAUGGAAGGGAUUCAUAAAGAACAAGCGGGCUUUUUCCCGGGUAGACACUUGUCUGACAAUAUGAGGAACAUAAUUGACAUUUUGGAGAAACUAGAAGUGAACAUAAACACUAAAGCAGUUUUGAUAUUUGUGGACGUGGAGAAAGCUUUUGACAGCAUUUCUUGGAGUUUUAUGAAGAAGAACCUACAGGGUAUGGGGGUAGGCCAAGGCUUUGAAAACGGUAUAAGUGCAAUUUAUUCAGAACAAAAGGCUAAAUUAAUUGUAAAUAAUGUGGUGACAGAAGAAUUUAAGAUAGAAAAAGGGACACGACAAGGUUGCCCAAUUUCCCCACUGCUUUUUAUUUCGGUCCUGGAGGUUUUGCUGAACAUGAUCAGAAGGGACCAGUUGGUUAAAGGUAUACAGGUCGGAGCCAAACAGUACAAAUUGAGAGCAUUUGCAGAUGACUUAGUACUGACGUUACAGGAGCCAGAAUCUAGUACCAAAAGGGUUUUAGAACUGAUUCAAGAAUUUGGUCAAGUCGCAGGAUUUAAAUUGAAUAAGGUAAAAACUAAGGUUUUAGAGAAAAAUUUAACACCAAUAGAGAGAGAGAGGUUUCAGAAUGAGACAGGUUUAACAGUGGUUAAGAAAGUUAAAUACUUGGGGAUCAACUUGACAGCAAAAAAAUGGGAAUUUAUUUAAAGAUAACUAUGAAAAUGUUGGGCUGAAGUGAAAAAAAGAUUUGGAAAUUUGGUCAAAUUUGAAGCUUUCACUGCUGGGCCGUAUUGCUGCGGUUAAAAUGAAUGUAUUGCCUAGAAUGUUGUUUUCGUUUCAAACAUUGCAAAUUGUGGACAAAAUGGACUGUUUCAAGAGGUGGCAGAGAGACAUUUCUAGAUUUGUCUGGCAGGGCAAGAAGCCCAGAAUAAAAUUUAAAAUACUAACAGAUGCAAAGGAAAGAGGUGGAUUUGCCCUGCCAGACCUCAAACUUUAUUAUGAAUCAGCAGCUUUUUGCUAGUUGAAAGAAUGGCUGCUUCUUGAAAACACUGACAUUUUGGAUUUAGAAGGUUUUAACAAUGUAUUUGGAUGGCAUGCAUACUUAUGGUAUGAUAAGGUCAAAGCACAUAAAGCAUUUAAAAAUCACAUUGUCAGGAAAGCAUUGUUCAAUGUUUGGAUAAGAUAUAAGGAUUUAUUGGAAAAUAAAACCCCAAGGUGGCUGUCACCGAUGGAAGCGAAAGCUCUGAAAAAGCUCAAUAUGGAGGUCAAAUGGCCGAAAUAUUGGGAAAUUUUGGAACAAGAUGGAGAUAGAUUGAAACUGCAGAGUUUUGAAAACUAAAAACAAAGUGCGAGACUGGCUUCAUUAUUAUCAGAUAAUGGAGGCAUACAAUUUGGAUAAGAAAAUCGGCUUCCAGGUGGAAAAAUCAAAAUUAGAAACAGAAUUGUUAGAACCCAAAACUAAGAUGGGCACAAGAUGUUGGACAUAAUAUUAUGUUUGCUGACUGGGAACAGUUAUGGACCACAGGUAUGAAGUUUACGGCAUGUAAUGCCCUAAGAGAGAAUAUUAUGAAAAUGAUAUACAGGUGGUACAUGACCCCAGUCAAGCUUGCAAAAUCUAUCAUUUGCCCGAUAAUAAAUGCUGGAAAUGUAAAGAAACUGAAGGUACAUUCUUUCACCUUGGUGGACGUGCCCAAGGAUUAAGGCUUUCUGGGAAAUGAUAUAUAAUGAACUGAAAAAGGUAUUUAAAUAUACCUUCCCGAAGAAACCAGAGGCCUUUCUCCUGGGCAUUGUUGGCCAAUUGGUGCUAAAGAAGGACAGAACUUUUUUUAUGUAUGCUACAACAGCAGCAAGAAUACUAAUUGCAAAGUAUUGGAAGACACAAGAUCUACCCACUUUGGAAGAAUGGCAGAUGAAGGUGAUGGACUAUAUGGAAUUGGCAGAAAUGACCGGUAGAAUCCGAGACCAGGGGGAAGAGUCGGUGGAAGAAGAUUGGAAGAAAUUUAAAGACUAUUUACAGAAAUAUUGCAAAAUUAACGAAUGUUAGAAUGAUGUUGGAUUGAAGUUAAGUGGUUUCUAGCGGUAUAGGUACAAAAGAAUAUAGAAAAAUUGGCUUUUAAUAUGUAAAAAUUUAAUGUUAUAAUAUAUCAAGAUUAAAGAUUAGGAUUAAAAAGGAGGGAAAGGAAUUGUUGGAUUAACAAAUUGAAUUGGAAUACAAAAGAGGGAGGUAUGAGGAGGUCCGGGAAACAAGUAAACGUAAAAGAAGUGAAGAAAAGAUGGAAUUGUUUUUAACUGUUUUUUCUUUUUUCUACUUUGUAUUUUUCCUUUUUAUUGUUAAUUUUUUUAUUAAUGUGAUUUUUCUUCUUUUGAAACUUUAAUAAAUAUAUAUAUAUAUAUUUUAAAGUGAUUAGCAUCAUGGACUGAAGAAGAUUGCUGUGAAACCUGGAUAAUAUCUGAAGAACAGGUCUCAUCUAUUUGGCUCCAAUUGAUCAUUUGGCUUUGCACUUCCAGCUAAUGACCACUUGAAGAACGCUUUCUGGUAACCACUCCUACAUUUAUUGCUUUGUGCUUCCAGUGA
rnacentral:lncRNA from 1 species